rnacentral:rRNA from 1 species
UACGUAGGGGGCAAGCGUUGUCCGGAAUUAUUGGGCGUAAAGAGCGUGUAGGCGGCCAGAUAAGUCCGCUGUGAAAUCUCGAGGCUCAACUUCGAGCUGUCGGUGGAAACUAUCUGGCUAGAGUCCGGAAGAGGAGAAUGGAAUUCCUGGUGUAGCGGUGAAAUGCGCAGAUAUCUGGAGGAACACCGGUGGCGAAGGCGGCUAGCUCUGGACCGGUACUGACGCUGAGACGCGAAAGCCAGGGGAGACCAAAGCGGGAUUAAG